rnacentral:lncRNA from 1 species
CAGCCUGUAGUGCAACAGCACCAGCAGCAGCCUGUAGUUCAGCAGCAGCAGCAGCAACACCAACCUGUUGUUCAGCAGCACCAAUAAAACUAUGUUGGUUAACAACAAUUAGUAAAUCCUUUGUAAGUCAACCUCCCAACUCGACUGCAGUCAGGUUCCCUAUAUCAUCCUUUCCUUUUCUGGAGCAAGUCAUUAAAAUGGUUGUCUAUUUUUUUUUUUUUUUGAUUCUU